GGUCCAUGGCUCAUUGGUAAGGUGCCUGCUUUGCAUGCAGAAGGUCCCUGGCUCAAUUUCUGACCACUCCCAGGUAGGACUG